rnacentral:lncRNA from 1 species
AAUGGUCUUAAAAUUUACAAUUUUAGUAGCUGAUAUUGAAACUUUACUAGGUUGACAUCUUGGGUUAGUUUCAUACAUGUCCUUGUAAACAUAGUAAAUGACAAAUAUAUCUUUAUAAAGUUCAACUUUCAUAUGUUGUCCCUAUAAAAAUUCUAAUAUUUUUAAAUAUGUCGCUUUGAUUUAUUAUCAUUAGAGAAUCGUUUAUAUUUUCAAUUUUAUUAUCAUAAAUAUAUCCCUCCAAAAGUCAUACUAGUAUAAUAUAAAGGAAUAAAAAUAUCAAAAACUAAUUAGAGUUAAAUAUUUAACCUAUGAUUAACUAACUUUUUUAACGGAUUCUAACGACAUGAACAUAUUUGAAAAUAUUAGGACUUUCGUAUGAACAUAAUAUGAAAGUUAAACUUUGUAGGAAUAUAUUUGUUAUUCACCAUAUUUAUAGAGAUAUGUAUGAAAUUAACCCUGUUAUCUUAAUUAAAACUCGAUAGUACUAAUUGUUUGGCGCUAUUGAUAGGAUCGUAGCCGAACUCGAUCAUAUGUAGAUGAUCUCUAACCCCA